ACGGGUGAGUAACACGUGGGCAACCUGCCCUUGAGACUGGGAUAACUUCGGGAAACCGGAGCUAAUACCGGAUAAUAUGAGGAACCUCCUGGUUCUUUAUUGAAAGAUGGUUUCGGCUAUCACUUAAGGAUGGGCCCGCGGCGCAUUAGCUAGUUGGUGAGGUAACGGCUCACCAAGGCGACGAUGCGUAGCCGACCUGAGAGGGUGAUCGGCCACACUGGGACUGAGACACGGCCCAGACUCCUACGGGAGGCAGCAGUAGGGAAUCUUCCACAAUGGACGAAAGUCUGAUGGAGCAACGCCGCGUGAGUGAUGAAGGCCUUCGGGUCGUAAAGCUCUGUUGUUAGGGAAGAACAAGUGCGAGAGUAACUGCUCGCACCUUGACGGUACCUAACCAGAAAGCCACGGCUAACUACGUGCCAGCAGCCGCGGUAAUACGUAGGUGGCAAGCGUUAUCCGGAAUUAUUGGGCGUAAAGCGCGCGCAGGUGGUUUCUUAAGUCUGAUGUGAAAGCCCACGGCUCAACCGUGGAGGGUCAUUGGAAACUGGGGAACUUGAGUGCAGAAGAGGAAAGUGGAAUUCCAA
rnacentral:rRNA from 1 species